ensembl:lncRNA novel transcript
AUUCAAGGCUCCAUCAGCCGGGGCCCUGGCAGGAACCAGAGUUCACUCAACCGUUCACAGAAGGGUGCCUUGCAGAGGCGCAGGCAGGAAUGAGCUUUGGUGUGGAUUUAACCUGAACAGGGCAGGCACAGAGUGUAUGCUCUGUGUGAAUUGACCUUCUGUAUUUUCAUCCUUCAGACGUGGAACCAAUAGAAUCUCCUUUAUAAAUGUAUCGAUCAUUUCUGCCCAGAAUCUCUUCCUGUUCUUAAUCACUUGGCCUGAGGCUCCACUCCUGACCCCAUAACUGUACAGGGUUCCCUCAGGCAGCAGGCUCCUUAAAGAAAAAACUUUACUCUUUUUUUUAAUAGAGUAAGUGAGUCACAUCCUUUUCAGAAGUAGCAUCCUAACGUUAGUACAUAAGAUGAAGUCACAAAUAGCAGAAUGACCAAAGGCAACACCUUCGUAAGCCCUUGAAAUACAGUGACGGACACAACACCCCUCCCUGGACCCAUGGGUGUUGCUUCCUGCAGCCAGGGACCAGGUUCCUGUGUCU